CUCUAUCAUUUACAACAGGUUGUGUAAGUUGUUUUGACUUGUCAUUAACAUAGUAUGUGUGGAUAGUAUAUAAUGGUCCAUAGAUAGGAAAGAUGCCAACUAAUUAUGUGACUGUGUGUGUGUGUGUGUGUGUGUGUGUGUGUGUGUGUGUGUGUGUGUGUGUGUGUGUGUGUGUGUGUGUGUGUGUGUGUGUGUGUGUGUGUGUGUUGGUGAAAGAGGGGGGGAGUUACCCCUUUCAUAAGGAGGCGUAGACUAUAUUAUAUAAUGAUGACAAAAUGGCCAUAAAAUCUGCAACUUACACAACCGGUUGUCAGUAUAAAACCCCCCUUUGCAGCAGACGAGCAGUCUGACUGUUGAUUGUCGCUAAAGAGAAAAGUUCAGUUCAAGUCAUCGAUGAUGGGAGAACACCAGGGUUCCCUUGUGCUGGCCAUCCUGUCGUCCAUCCUCCUCUUUGUCAUCACGCUGGUGUUCAAUGGUCUGGCGGGACCUGGAAUAUAUCCAUUUCUGGGGACAACGGCCAACAUAUCAGGGGAGUAUGAGACGGAGAUCACGCCUGCAGGCUGGACCUUCGCCAUCUGGUCUCUUAUAUACGUGUGGCUGGUCCUCAUGUUCGUCUACAUCCUCUCCGGCUGCUGCAGGAAAAACUCCUACGGCUAUGUGUACUGCAGUCCUCCUGUCCUUUCACAUGGCUUUUUCAUGGCAUGGUGCAUGAACAUGGGCUUGAACACUGCAUGGCUGUUUCUGUGGGAUAGAAGCUUGAUGAUCGUUGCCGCUGUGUUCCUUCUCCUGAUUGCCGGCUCAAACUACAUCAUGAUCUCCUUCGCCUGCCGCGGUCUCCAUGUUCACGGCGCGUGGCUCAGCAAAUAUCACAGACUCGAUCUUUGGCUGCACCGUGUGUGUGUUCAGAAUGGUCUGGCCUUGUACGCUACAUGGACAACGGUCGCCACUCUUGUUAAUCUGACCAUUGUGCUCGACUACGAUGCAGAGAUGCUUCCAGAGAACGCUGCCACAGUCACUCUAUCCGUGCUUACGUGUAUUUUGCUGGCCUGGUGUGUUUUAGAGAACUGGGUCCUGGAGAGGCAUGUGCGCUACAUCGUGACAGUGUAUCCAGUGGUGAUCUGGGCCCUCUGUGGGGCCGUGUCCAGCCACUUCGACCCCAGCGCACCCAGCCAGAGUGGCCUCUUCCUAGUGGCGCUCCUGGCCCUGUCCUGCGCGCUGUGUGCUGUGAAGCUUGGCCUGGCGGUCUGGAGGCACGUCAAGCGGCCCCUGUAUCAAGACGUGAAGGCAGAGGACAUGGAGCCCAUGGAAAUUGCUCAAAGACAGAAAAAGAUUUUUAAAUGAACAUUGUUGCACUUAACCCAGAAGAUUAGACACAACAUCCGAAUUAAUGAUAUAUUUUGCAUACUUUUGUAUUUAUAAUGACUUUUGCGUAUUUUGUGUCAAUUGUGUGUUUGGCUCAAAGCCCAAUUUUGUGUCAUUUGUAUUUUUAACGAAGUUGAAAAAAAAAACAAAUAUGUGCUUUAGUACAUUCUGUUGAACAAAUAAUAUAAAUAAUGUUGUAAAUGUUGUUGAAUGAUUUUCUUUUUGUAAUGUGAAAAUAAAAC
ensembl:lncRNA